rnacentral:lncRNA from 1 species
AUCCUUAUGUGAAACUCAGCUCUUCUUUCCCUUCUUCUCUUUCCCUUUAUUUCUCUCAUCGAUUGAAGGCUCAAAACAAAAACUUUUUUCCUUCUUCUCUACACCCCCCCUCAAGUUGGAGGGGAGAGAAUGGACCCCCAACUUGUGCAAGAUGAGAUUAUGUGAAGCUCUUGGUAUAGGUUUGGUAAAAAGAUCGGCGAGCUGCUAGUGAGAUGGGACAAAAGAAAGGGUUAUUAGCCCGGAGAGAUACUAUUGGCGGACAAAGUGACAAUCGAGCUCAACAUGUUUUAUUUGCUCGUGAAAGACAGGGUUACGGAUGUUGUGUAUUGCUGCUUGGCUAUCAAAUUGAACCGGAAUAGGAAGUAAAGGUGGAGAAGACAGAUCUGCAAGAAGGUGUACCAACCAGGUAAUUUCUACGGUAACUCUUCUCAUAGUCCUAUACUCUGGAUCUGCAGAUGAAAGAAAUAUUGAUGCUUUCUUUUUUGAUUUAGAGGAAAUUGGUGCUCCACCAAGAAUGAUAAAGAACCCAUUAACUGACCUCCUAGAAUCUUUGCAAGCUGCCUAGUCGGAAUCACAAAAAGCUACCAAAUCGAAUGAAGGGUAUGAAGAUAGAAAAAUACCAUGUGAAGGAUCUGCAGACAGAUAACGUAGAACACGCAGGCCAGCAGUGAAAUGAGAAAGGCAUGGCCUUUGCAUAAAUUGGUUGAGACAAAACACAACAAAAGAUAAGUCAGGCCGAGUAUUUGUGAGGUAAUUGAGUUUGCCCACCAAAUAUCGAUAAAGAGUGGGAUCUGAAUAAAGAGGCCCAUCAUCAGCACCGAGUUUGGAAUAAGGAUCAAGUGAUGAAGAUACUGCCGAGCCAGAAAAGUUAAAUUCCUUCAAAAUAAUGAACCCCUGUUUUUCUCGAAGAAUUUCCAACGCUAGGAAAUAAUGAAUGUCUCCUAAGUUUUUAACCUUGAAUUUAGUAUUGAGAAAAGUUGUAAUUUGAUUGUUUCCUCAAUAUCACUGCCUGAUAUUAAAUUGACAUCUAUGAUAGAAACUAGGCCCCAGAUUGUUUGUAGAACAAUGAAUAGUCAUUGAGGAAACUAGAAUAGCCAUUGUAGCUUAAUGCCCCAGCAAGCUUGGCAUACCACUGCACUUCCUAGAGGCUUGCUUUAAAUCAUACAGUGACUUUCUCAAAAGACAUACUUAGUAGGAUCAGGAGGUGAUAGUCCAGCAGGAAAUUUCAUGUAGACUUCUUGUUGCAAGUCUCCAUGUAAAAAGGCAUUGUUCACAUCAAGUUGUGACACAUGCCAGCCUUUCUUCACAACUAUUGUUAAGAGACAUCUAAUUGUGGUCAUUUUCACCACUGGAGAAAAAGUUACUAAAUAGUCAAUUUCUUCUCUUUGUAUGCUCCCCCUCACUACUAACCUUGCCUUCAGCCUUUCUAUAGUACCAUCUGACUUAUGUUUAACUUUGUAAACCUAUUUGCAUGGUAAAGCCUUCUUUCCUGGUGGUAAGGUCACCAUAUUCGAAGUAUGAUUCAACUCUAGAGCUGCAAUUUCUACCUCCAUUGCCUUUCUCCAACCCGCUUCCUUACAAGCUUCAUGGUAGCUUGUUGGUUCUGAAAUGGUGGACACACUCUUCAGAACAUUCUGAUUAUUGAGUGUGAGUCCUCCAAAAGAGAAAGCAGUAUGUUUAGCUGACUGAGUGAAACAUGAGGAGUUGAGGUCAAUGAGGAAUAUGCUAUUGCAUACAUAAUCAUUUAGGUAUGUUGGUCUUUGAGUAAUCCUUUCAAAUUUUCUGAUUGGAAGUGGUGGAAUGGGAAAAGUGGGAACGGGAGAUGAAAUAGGAGGACUGGGAGUUAGGUUGAUUGGUUGAUGAAGUACUAGGUGAAUAAUGUGGUGAAUUUUCUAGCCCAAAACUUGGCAAAGGAGAAGAGGGUUCAGGAUGGUUAGUGGUUUGAUCUCCCAUCCCAGGUGUCCUGCUAGGUGUAGAAAGAAAAGGGGAGGCAGCUGAAUAUGCUUACGGUGUAGAGAUGAUACUGAUAGAUGGUUGAACAGAAGGUGGAAUAUCAGAAAAAGUGGUAGAAGGGAAAAACAAAGGGAGGUGUUGUGGUGGACAAAGUGAAAGGGAAAUGAUCUUCAUGGAACUUGACAUCUCUGAAAAUAAACACCUUUCUUGUUUCAAUUUUCAGAACUUUGUAACCCUUUUGACCUUGUGCAUAUCCCAAGAACAAACAUCUCUUAGCUCUUGGCUCAAAUUUAUUCCUAUUAUGAGCCAAAGUAGAUGCAUAGCAUAGACAUCCAAAAGAUCUAAGUGAAUCAUAGUUAGGCGAUCUCACAAGAAGAACCUCAUAGGAUGUCUUGCCUUUCAAAACUCUAGAAGGUAUCUUGUUGAUGAGAUGAGUGGCUGUCAGCACACAUUCUCCCCAGUAUUGAAUGGGGACCUUAGACUAAAAAACUAGACCCCUUGCAACUUCCAAAAGAUGCAUAUAUUUUCUCUCAAUCACCCUAUUCUGUUGGGGUGUUCCCAUAAAAGAUGUUUUAUGCAGUAUACCUUGUGAUUCAAGGAAGCCAGCUUCCUGUGAUCCUUUGCCUAAUCCUUUGCAUUAUCAGACCUUACCCUUUUUACCUUCAUAUUAAAUUGCCUUUCUACCGUACUACAGAAAGAUUUUAGAAUUGGAAAAGCAUUAUUUUUGCAACUUAACAGAAAAGUCCAUGUGGCUCUACUGUAGUCAUCUACAAUAGUUAGGAAAUACGUAAACCCAUUGUAUGUCUCAGUCCUGAGUGGUCCUUAAGUAUCAGUGUGAAUCAAAUAAAAAAUCCCUUGGGUUUUGAUAUGACUUAGAGGAAAGGGGAGUUUACUUUUUUUUAGCUUGAGGACAAAUGUUACACACAUAAUCAAAAUUUGAAGGAAAAUUAAUGAAGCUAAGAUUCUUCAUUACUGAAAAGGGUAGAUGACCCAAUCUAACAUGCCAUUGGCUUACAGUAGAAACAACAUUAGCCACUAAAGGUGUUUGAAAAGAAACUGAACUAGAACAAUUGUUGGAAUUUCUUCCUUUUGGAAUUGAAACUACAUCUUGACAAGGCAGAAUGUCAGAAGCUACACUAGUGGGCCUGAGUAGAUAUAAAUUAUCUCUUACUUCACGAAAAAACUUGUCCCCUCCUCAGUAAAGGGACCUGCAUUAGACAACCAUAUGAAGUUAGAUUUAAAGAGCAUUUGAAUUGACUACAUAACUUAUGAAUAGACAAUAAGUUAUAUCUGAAAGAAGGCACAUGAAGAACUCUUUUAAGGAUCAUAUCUGACUGAAUGAAGACACUACCUUGUGUAACAUAUAAUUGGAAAGAGUUAGGUAGACUAAUAUGUAAAGGAAUAGGAAGAGGAGUCAAAUCUAUGAAUGAGCUUGAAUCAAAACACAUAUGCUUAAAAACUCCUGAAUUAAUAAUCCAUGUUUUAGUAUUAAAAGCUUAAAGACAAGUUCCAGUAUACUUAAGGAUUGUAGCAGCCACUACAUUGGCAUUAAUUUCUGAACUUGUAUGUCCUGAGUUCCCAAUCUGCACCUGCUUGAUUAAGUUAACUAGCUCAGAAACUUGCUCCUUGCUGAACAUUUGUGGCUGAUUGUUGAUGUUUCCCUCAUUUUUAGGAGUUGCUACACCUUUAUCUUGUCCUAUUACCACUGCAUUUCCUUUUACUGCUCCCUGAUAAUUGUUUGGUUGUUUGGUAAACUAAAAAGCUUCUUAGGAACCCUAUCAAUCUGUAGCAGUCUGCUCUCACAUGUCCUGCUCUCUUGCAGUGAGAGUAGGUGACAUUAGGGUUGCAUUUAGACUUCUUUCCUUUGAACUUUUGUGGACUGUUUCCAAACUUCUGAGUGGCAGACUAGGAUUUCUGAUUCUGAUUGUUGUUCCUUUGUUGGAACUUUGUCUGAGUUCCUACCAUAAAUGAUGCUCCAACAGAAGGGUAUUGAGGGUUUAUGUAUACCUCUCUUUGACUCUCAUCCUAAAGUAGCAAAGAGUAGGCAUGAUCUAAGCUAGGUAGAGGAUUCAUCAUAAGAAUAUUUCCUCUUGCUUGGCCAUACACAUCAUUAAGUCCCAUAAAAAAUUGAAUAGCUCUUUGAUAUUCCAAAAACUUAGUGACCUUCUUUCCAUCACACACACAGUCACAGAUGCAUCCUAGGUGUGUGCUCAGAGAAUCCAACUCAUCCCAUAGUCUCUUCAGAGUUGUAAGAUAGCCUGCUACACUGCUAUUUCCUUGAACUAACUUAGAUAUCUCCUUUUGCAGGUGAUAUAGUUUGGCCCCAUUGGAUUGGCCAAACCCACCUCAAGGUUGUUCUAAAGUUCCAUUGCAGAUUUUGAGUAGAUGACACUAUCUCCUAUUUCUUUAGAAAGUGAGUUUAGAAACCAUGAGGUGACCAUGUCAUUGCACCUACUCCAUUGAGGAAGAUCACUGGAAUCCAGACUUGGUUUCCCACAGCUUCCAUUGAUGAAACCAAGUUUAUUCUUGGCAAAUAGUGCAAUUAAGAUUGACCUCAUCCAACUUGGAAAGCCUCUCCCAUCAAAUUGUGAGUUGACGAGAGACAUACCAGGUGCAUCAGAGGAGUGAAGAAAGUAUGGAUGAUUACAGUCCUGAUUGACUGUAGUAGAUGAAGAACCUAGGCUGUGAGAAAUUGGGGUAGAGAUAACUAGAGUCUCAUCUGUUACUGCCAUAGUUAGCCUCUGGACUUAAGAGAUUUUGAGAAAAUGUGAAGGAUCAAGCUAUUAGAGCUUUGAUAUCAUGUAAGAUUUAAUAAGGAAGAUGAAGGAAUUUUCUCUGUGUAUUGUAUAUCAUCUGAAACUCUGUACN